CAGAGCGGUGGAGAAGUGAACACGUAUGGAGGUCGCUAGUUCGCUACGCAGGACUGCGUGGGCGUCAUGUUAAAUGCUCGAUGAGUCAUGCCAACGCGGAACAGAGGAACAAGGAAGACGUUGAGUUUCUAAAGGAGUCAUUUUCUGUCUAAUCAACCACCACAAAUUAAUCAAAUCAAAUGUCUCACUUUAGAAAGAGAGAUUGGAAACCAGAUCAUGUCAUCAUGCAGGAGAAUCCACACAUUUUGCGUACCCACGAAGCUAUGGUGGAUCUGAUACAUGGACGAGCCACUAAACACACCUUUAUGGAUGCCUUUAACUAUGGCCUGUUAGGUCUUGAUAUUGUCAACCCCUUCGUGGGUGACUAUAUUGACGAUGAAUACGACGAUGACGUCGACUAUUAUGAUGACAAAAAACACAAAGAAUAAAAAGCCUAUUGCGGUUUUACACACAAUUUUUUAGGGCAUAGUAUCUCAAAGCUACCUUAACCCCCCAUCCAUGUAUAAGACAACUCACUCCUGAGGAGGCUGAAAAAAACGCCAGGGAACUUAUAGAAGAAGAGGACAAACUAAAAGAAAAAGCAGAAAGAAAGACUUAAAAAGAAGCGACAGAAGGAGAGGAAACGUGCAGGCAAAGAUAAGGAGGCUGAGAACCGAGGGCCAGGGAGGUCCAGCCGCUCAGAGAAUCAGGGAGGAGAUUUAAACAUUGAGAGAGAGCAGCAGGAGGAGGAGAAGGAGUUUACAGAGGAGGGCCUUGGUCCGGGACCUGGUGGUACUACAGCCUGCAGCAGGCAGCAGGAGGCGCAGGAUUCUCCUUUGGAGGAGACCUGUGGUAGCAGUAAUGAGGACCAGGAGGACGUGAGAGACAAGGGAUUAGCCAGGGAGCCAGAGGUUUGUUUUGCUUCCUUUAGCUUCUGUAUGUGUCAUUUUCAUUCUACAGUGCACCCUGCUUACAGUGGAGGUAGCUCUAGUCCUAGAAUCUAUACAACGGCCUCCCCAUUCAAGUCAAUGGUGGCAUCAUGGGUAGACUGACAGCUUUAUGGAGUGUCUUCUUGAGUUUACCAGGCAAAUUGCCAGGCUAAGAGGUUCCAAGCCCUAAUCAACUGUUUACAGUGUUUCAAUUGUCCUCCACGGAUGUGAUCACUGUAAGAUGAGUGUACUGU